AUGGUGGCCAGAGCCGGGGUGGAUGAUGAAGCAACGGUCUCGCGGUUGAAGACGAACAGCGACGGCGCGGGUAACAGUGGAGGUCAGAGGGCGUGGCGGUACGCUGAGGACGGCCGGCGAGGCAUGGCGGUCGAGGUCGCCAAGAAAGGGAGGCAGCAGGGGUGCGGCGAUGCGGAUGGCCUUGCGGGCCAUGCCGGGGACGGGCGAAGCGGUGACGAGGAGGCCGGGGUGCAGAAGAUGGCGAUGAGGAGAAGCAAGAGGAGAGGCAGCGCAGGAGGUCCGGCGCGGCGUCCUAGCGAGGCACGGUGCGGAGGAGGUGAUGGGCAGAGACGGGUGGGAUGA
rnacentral:rRNA from 1 species